GGGCCCGCACAAGCAGCGGAGCAUGUGGUUUAAUUCGAAGCGACGCGAAGAACCUUACCGGGUCUUGACAUCCCUUGACGAAUGCCGAAAGGUAUUUUCCCUUUAGGGGGCAAGGAGACAGGUGGUGCAUGGUUGUCGUCAGCUCGUGUCGUGAGAUGUUGGGUUAAGUCCCGCAACGAGCGCAACCCUUAUUCUUAGUUACUAACGCGUAGAGGCGAGGACUCUAGGGAGACUGCCGUGGACAACACGGAGGAAGGUGGGGACGACGUCAAAUCAUCAUGCCCCUUAUGACCCGGGCUACACACGUGCUACAAUGGCCGCAACAAAGAGGAGCGAAGUCGUAAGGCGGAGCGGAUCUCAAAAAGCGGUCUCAGUUCGGAUUGUGGGCUGCAACCCGCCCACAUGAAGUCGGAGUUGCUAGUAAUCGCGGAUCAGCAUGCCG
rnacentral:rRNA from 1 species